rnacentral:tRNA from 1 species
UCCGUUGUAGUUUAGUUGGUUAGGAUAUUCGGCUCUCACCUAGAGAUCCAGGUUUAAGUCCCGGCAACGGAA